rnacentral:rRNA from 1 species
ACGAACGCUGGCGGCGUGCCUAACACAUGCAAGUCGAACGAGGUCCAUGGAGUGGCAACACUGCGGACGACCUAGUGGCGAACGGGUGAGUAACACGUGAGGAACUUGCCCCGGAGACCGGGAUAACUGUUCGAAAGGACAGCUAAUACCGGAUGUCCUCACCGAGCCGCAUGGCUUGGUGAGGAAAUGGAUUCCGCUCCGGGAGAGCCUCGCGGCCUAUCAGCUAGUUGGUGGGGUAACGGCCCACCAAGGCAUCGACGGGUAGCUGGUCUGAGAGGACGAUCAGCCACACUGGGACUGAGACACGGCCCAGACUCCUACGGGAGGCAGCAGUGGGGAAUCUUGCGCAAUGGGCGAAAGCCUGACGCAGCAACGCCGCGUGCGGGAUGAAGGCCUUCGGGUUGUAAACCGCUUUCAGUGGGGACGAACCAAGACGGUACCCACAGAAGAAGCCCCGGCCAACUACGU